UCAGUCUCUAGGGCUGUGUCCUGCUCUGGAAUCCUCAGCAAGCUAAGGAUGUGGACCUGUCAGAGUGGGUCUGAAGAAUGCCACAAAAAUGAUCCAAGGCUGUGCAGCAGAACCACACUUCCCACCCUGAGAGCGAGGACUGGGCAAGAAACACAUAAACCUGGUGCCUUCAUGUCUCAUCAAGAAAACCCAGACUUGGAGCCUGCAGGCAGGACUCUGUGCCACCUAGAUAGUUUGGACACAGACUUGGACUCACCUACGCUCACACACACUCUGCCUUCCUUGCCUCAGCAGGACAAGGCUUCAGAGCUUUUCUUGCAUCCACAAACUUGAAUGAGACUCAGCAGGAAAAGGUGAGGAUGAUUCUAAUCUGCUUCCAAACUCAUCUUUGGGGGAGUGCUUGCCCACAGCUGUGGUUAACGGUGAUGAGGCUCGCUCUGGUCCCAGGAAGGAAGAUGCUCCAGGAACGUGAAGUAUUCUUGAACUCAGAACUGUACUUUGCCAUCCAUGUGUAAUCUUGGUUUCAGAGCCUGCAGAGAGAUGGAGCUUGUGUGUAUGUUCUGGCCUGGAAAACCUUCUAUGUCUGUUGAUGUGCUCGGAGAAAUUCACAGGCAUCAGGGAAAAUCCUUUCGGCUCUAGUGGAACGAUAACAACUGUAGGGUUGGUUUGAACUCUCUGGCAAGGAACGAGUUGAGAAGUGAAGAGCCUGCGAGUGUGAUUCUCUGCUGAAUAUAGAGCAACGUCUAAGAAGGAGCUGGAAGCAAUUCAGAGCCUCAGCAGAGCUCGCUGAGGCCUAGGAGCUCGACUUGUAGCCCAGAGCUCAUAUCCAGUUCGUGUUCAGCAGGCUGUAAUGGAAAACAGCAGCCCCUGAUAAGUAACAAUGGCCACGUUAGCUCUGGGCUCCAACAAUAGGAAGGUUCACACAAGCUACUGCUCUGGCAAGCCCUGGCUCCCAGGGGCAUUGGCUAGGCAGCAGUUUCCCUGGCAGCAGAAGCAGAUCAUCUGAAAUGCUCGUUACGAGGAGGUGGAUGCAGGAGCGGUGAGGCGCUGCGAGAGCUAAAGGGUGGUCAGCAGUCCCCAGGACCCUACCUGCUGGCUAUGGGAGGGGAACAAAAGCAUGGCUCUGCUGCCACCAGCAACAACAGGGCACGGAGGGAGAAGACAAGACUGGUGGCAGCUCUGCAAGGCACUUCAGCUGGGUUAGAAUCCAGACUUCUAUGGGGGAUACCUGCCCAGAGAUAGAGAGGUGCCUUGCUAACCUGCUGACGUGGCAGGUGUACAGGUGAGCCUUGUGGAACUGGAGAGGUGCAGGCCACCAGACCUAAUCCACAGCUCUGCACAGCCCAGGUGAAGUCAUGCAGUGCCUCCUGCAUCGAUCCCAUGCCUUGCUGUUGGGAUCCCUC